rnacentral:misc_RNA from 1 species
ACUUACCAAUCACAUUUUUCAAGGUGGCAUGUGAUCUAGGGUUACAAAGUUGAACUAGUAUAAUACAUAAUUAUGGGGUUAUCAUGUUUUUCUCUUGGUGGAUAUUUGAUUUUGCUUGUGUUGUUUGUUGAUUGUGUUGUUUAUGCUGAUGUUAAUGGAGUUGGAGAUGAGAAGCUCCUAUUUGGACAUAGAAAGUUUGGGAAGAGGUUUGGUGGUGGAGGUGGAUUAGGUGGUGGAGGUGGAUUAGGAGGUGGUGGUGGUUUAGGUAAAGGUGGUGGACUUGGUGGUGGGGGUGGAUUAGGAGGAGGUGGUGGUUUAGGUAAAGGUGGUGGACUUGGUGGUGGGGGUGGAUUAGGAGGA